rnacentral:rRNA from 1 species
GAUGAACGCUGGCGGCGUGCCUAACACAUGCAAGUCGAACGGAGCUGCUUUGAUGAGAUCUUCGGAUGGAUUUAAAACAGCUUAGUGGCGGACGGGUGAGUAACGCGUGGGUAACCUGCCUCACACUGGGGGAUAACAGUUAGAAAUAGCUGCUAAUACCGCAUAAAGCGCACAGUUCCGCAUGGAACAGUGUGAAAAACUCCGGUGGUGUGAGAUGGACCCGCGUCUGAUUAAGCCAGUUGGCGGGGUAACGGCCCACCAAAGCGACGAUCAGUAGCCGGCCUGAGAGGGUGAACGGCCACAUUGGGACUGAGACACGGCCCAAAAACUU